AAUUACCUACGGGGGGCAGCAGUGAGGAAUAUUGGUCAAUGGGCUUACGCCUGAACCAGCCACGUCGCGUGAGGGAAGACUGCCCUAUGGGUUGUAAACCUCUUUUGUCAGGGAGCAAUUUGCGCUACGUGUAGCGUUAUCGAGAGUACCUGAAGAAAAAGCAUCGGCUACCUCCGUGCCAGCAGCCGCGGUAAUACGGAGGAUGCGAGCGUUAUCCGGAUUUAUUGGGUUUAAAGGGUGCGUAGGCGGAAUGCCAAGUCAGCGGUAAAAUCGCGGGGCGCAACCUCCCUCCGCCGU
rnacentral:rRNA from 1 species